GUCCUGAUGUUCUAAAGCCUCAAGACCUCAGACACUCAAAGUAAAUUUUUCUUUGGUAAAUUAGAAGACUCUGAAUAAAGACUUACAGGAGACAUUAAAUGCUCAUGUGGCCCAAGUUCUCCAUCUGACAGAUUGAAAAACUAAAGCCAGAUGGGUAAUUGACCUGAUCAAGACUGGACUAUUGCUUGCUCCUCUGGCAUGAGAUCCGGUGUCUAAUCUCUCUAAUGAAUUAGCCGUCACUAUCUCUUCCACCAUAUCCUUGGACUUGGAGGAACUGGAGACAGAGUUAUGUGGCUGACAGAGAAUGAGAAGAAUCAGGAAAAGGAGAAAAUAAUAUAAUCUGACACUACACAGGUAGAAUAAGAAUGGAACCAGGACACCAGUUAGGAGGCAACAUAUUAUCCAGGAGAGGUGAAAGAGGAUGGGGCCUGGGAGCAGUAGUGGAGGUGGAAGAGGAAGGAAAUACAGAAAGGAAAAUGUCACACAAAGAUUGACACAAAGAAGAAGAUAGCCAUGUAACAACAGAGGGAGA